CCCGAUUGGUCCGCGGCCUAUCAGCUAGUUGCGGGGUAAAAGCCCACCAAGGCUACGACGGGUAGCUGGUCUUAGAGGACGACCAGCCACACUGGAACUGAGACACGGUCCAGACACCUACGGGUGGCAGCAGUCGAGAAUCUUCACAAUGGGGGCAACCCUGAUGGAGCGACGCCGCGUGGAGGAUAAGGUCUUCGGAUUGUAAACUCCUGUCAUGCGCGAACAAGGUUGCAGAGUUAAUAACUUUGCAAAUUGAUGGUACCGCAAGAGGAAGAGACGGCUAACUCUGUGCCAGCAGCCGCGGUAAUACAGAGGUCUCAAGCGUUGUUCGGAAUCACUGGGCGUAAAGGGUGCGUAGGUGGCGUGGUAAGUCAGAUGUGAAAGCCCGGGGCUCAACCUCGGAAUUGCAUCCGAUACUACCAUGCUAGAGUACUGAAGAGG
rnacentral:rRNA from 1 species